UAGGGAAUCUUCCGCAAUGGGCGAAAGCCUGACGGAGCAACGCCGCGUGAGUGAUGAAGGUCUUCGGAUCGUAAAACUCUGUUAUUAGGGAAGAAUAAAUGUGUAAGUAACUAUGCACGUCUUGACGGUACCUAAUCAGAAAGCCACGGCUAACUACGUGCCAGCAGCCGCGGUAAUACGUAGGUGGCAAGCGUUAUCCGGAAUUAUUGGGCGUAAAGCGCGCGUAGGCGGUUUUUUAAGUCUGAUGUGAAAGCCCACGGCUCAACCGUGGAGGGUCAUUGGAAACUGGAAAACUUGAGUGCAGAAGAGGAAAGUGGAAUUCCAUGUGUAGCGGUGAAAUGCGUAGAUAUAUGGAGGAACACCGGUGGCGAAAGCGGCUCUCUGGUCUGUAACUGACGAUGAGGCUCGAAAGCGUGGGGAGCGAACAGG
rnacentral:rRNA from 1 species